UACGUAGGGAGCAAGCGUUGUCCGGAAUCAUUGGGCGUAAAGCGCGCGUAGGUGGCUUUCAUAAGUCCGUUGUGAAAAGUCAAAAGGCUCAACCUUUUGAAAGCCGAUGGAUACUGUGAAGCUAGAGUACGGAAGAGGCGAGUGGAAUUCCUGGUGUAGCGGUGGAAUGCGCAGAUAUCAGGAGGAACACCAAUAGCGAAGGCAGCUCGCUGGGACGUUACUGACACUGAGGCGCGAAAAGCGUGGGGGAGCGAACAGG
rnacentral:rRNA from 1 species